AGGAAGGCAGCAGUGGGGAAUAUUGGGCAAUGGGCGAAAGCCUGACCCAGCGACGCCGCGUGAGGGAAGAAGGUCUUCGGAUUGUAAACCUCUUUCAGCAGGGAAGAACAAUGACGGUACCUGCAGAAGAAGUCACGGCUAACUACGUGCCAGCAGCCGCGGUAAUACGUAGGUGGCGAGCGUUAUCCGGAAUUACUGGGUGUAAAGGGUGUGUAGGCGGAGAAGCAAGUCAGGCGUGAAAUUCAGAGGCUCAACCUCUGGACUGCGCUUGAAACUGUUUCCCUUGAGAGUGGGAGAGGUAAACGGAAUUCCUGGUGUAGUAGUGAAAUGCGUAGAUAUCAGGAGGAACACCGGUGGCGAAGGCGACUUACUGGACUGUAACUGACGCUGAGGCGCGAAAGUGUGGGGAGCAAACAGGAUAGAUACCCUGGUA
rnacentral:rRNA from 1 species